rnacentral:rRNA from 1 species
UUGGAGGGCAAGUCUGGUGCCAGCAGCCGCGGUAAUUCCAGCUCCAAUAGCGUAUAUUAAAGUUGUUGCAGUUAAAAAGCUCGUAGUUGAAUUUCGGGAUCAAUGUUUCGGUCAUGCCGUUGGUAUGUACUGAUAUUAUUGAUUUCUCACCUUCUAAAGAACCGUAAUGCCAUUAAUUUGGUGUCACGGGGAAUUAGGACUGUUACCUUGAAAAAAUUAGAGUGUUUAAAGCAGGCUCACGCUUGAAUACAUUAGCAUGGAAUAAUGAAAUAGGACAUCCGAUUCUAUUUUGUUGGUUUCUAGGAUCGAUGUAAUGAUUAAUAGGGAUAGUUGGGGGCAUUAGUAUUCAAUUGUCAGAGGUGAGAUUCUUGGAUUUAUUGAAGACUAACUACUGCGAAAGCAUUUGCCAAGGAUGUUUUCAUUAAUCAAGAACGAAAGUUAGGGGAUCGAAGACGAUCAGAUACCGUCGUAGUCUUAACCAUAAACUAUGCCGACUAGGGAUCGGAUGAUGUUAAUUUUUAAUGACCCAUUCGGCGCCUUACGGGAAACCAAAGUGUUUGGGUUC